AACCAGAUCAUUCUUAGGAGCAGUGCCCAGACCCAAAUCCAACAGCAUCUCACUCUUCUGACUUGGCAGAGACUCUCUGAUGGGGAGCUCUGAAGGGAAAGUCAUGUUCUGCAGGACUGUGGGUGCUCUGGACUGACACUUUGGGGAGUGAAUUCAAGAUCCUCAGAAACCCAGGUCCCCAAAGUCAGACCCAUGAGAAUUUCUCAGAGGCCCAUGAAACUUAAAGAGGUCAGGGACAGCACCCAAGAACAUGACUCUGAGACAUACUUGGAGCCCACAAAGGCCUACCUGACCCUAUCCCUACUUCCACUCCCACCCACUUCACAGAUGGGGAAACUGAGGCCUGGAGAAAACAGAGCAAUGGCUCAAGAUCACCAUGCAAGUCAGAGGCUGAGCUGUCUUCUGGCUGGCUGGCUUCCUUCCCACUGCAUUCCGCUUGCCCUCCGUGAGCAUUCCAAGGCACCGUGUAACAGGAAAGGAAGUGUCAGCAGGCCAGCUCACCACACAUAGCCCUCCUGCUUGUAGUCAAACUCCAUGAGCCUGCUUUUUCCAGCCAGGAUGCGGACCAGAUUACCAAACCCAGCAUUUACUUCUAUUUUCCAAGAACGAAGUCAGCAGUUUUACUCUGAGUAAAGUGCUCAGAGACCCUGGACCCCCUCAUGUGCUUCAAGGUCUCCUCCUGGGCUGCCUUAGUAUCUUGAAGUUUCAGAGGCCUCCGGGGCCCAGGACCACCAAGAGAGGCUUGCAAGACCCCGAGAGCCAAAGAUGAGGACUGAGAAAAGAGAAUGGUCAUCCUGACUGACACAGAGCACACCGGACACAUGACUGUUUCCUGGAGACUUGUCAUGUGGGUCACCCACUGGCCCAGCAUCUUCUUGAUCUAUAGUUGGGAGAGCACUAUGACCCUGUGCAGUGAUGGCAGAUACCAUCAUGGUACCUACUGCAGUGUGUGUGUGUGCGUGUGUGUGUGUGUGUACACAUGUAGUGCCCAUGUACUAAAUAAGUAAGUGUAAAGAAAAAAAUUAAGAGCAGAUCCAAUGAGCAGAGGGAGCCGGGAAGCCUGGAAGUGCAGUUUCUAGUAUUCUGAGAGGCCUGUGGGUAGCAGGGUGACCUUUCCCCUGGGACUGUGAGAAUGGAAUCCCCAUACAUCCCUGUCUGGCUCUUGGUAGAUGAGGAGGGGCAGACCAACUACAGUCACAGCCAAGGAGAAGGCUGCCAUCAUGGUCAGAGAAGCACCCUCUGCCGCCAGAACUUUUUCUUCUUGCUGGAUCCAUGUGUGGUUUCCUACCCAGACCUGUACGGUGUAGGCAGAGUUAUUUACAAACAUGCCUCUCCUAGUGAGCUCCAGUUCACGCUGCAAUACCUAAAGCCUUUGCUUGCAUAAAUAUGGGGGCCUGUCGUAAUAAAUCACUUGUUAUUCUC